UACGGGGGGAGCAAGCGUUGUUCGGAUUUACUGGGCGUAAAGGGCGCGUAGGCGGUGGCACAAGUCAGUUGUGAAAUCUCCGGGCUUAACUCGGAAAGGUCAACUGAUACUGUGCGACUAGAGUGCAGAAGGGGCAACUGGAAUUCUCGGUGUAGCGGUGAAAUGCGUAGAUAUCGAGAGGAACACCUGCGGCGAAGGCGGGUUGCUGGGCUGACACUGACGCUGAGGCGCGAAAGCCAGGGGAGCGAACGGG
rnacentral:rRNA from 1 species